GCUGUUGGAUCCUCUGUUCUUUUUGCUGUUCGGUGGAGGAGUAACACAGGCAGUGGCUUAGCAGUUUAAAUGAUGAGUUACUUAAGAAGGAGGCCACCACUGACUCAAGGAGUGAGACCUUCUCUUCAAUAAUGAAGGUGUGAUUCCAUAGAUAAACUCCAUAAAAGGUGUGAGACCAUUGAUUGAGAGAUACAAGACUCACAACAGUUCAAGGACUUCUACCAGUUUACGUUUAAUGUUGCCAAAAACUUGGGAGGAAAGGACUAGGCUAGUGACAUAAUAUUAUACAUGUACAUGUAGGAUCAUGUUUGCUAAACUUGCCACACAAUGAUUUCAAUGUACACAUGUUGAUGGGGGAAUUUUGCAAGUGAUCCUACUAAAAUUUGAGAAUACAUGUACAUGUAUAAUUUAAUGUAUAUUGUAUGAAUUGAUUAAAAUCUUUUGUGCUUUUUAUUUCUCUACAGAUCUUGAGAUGGCCAUUGCCUACUGGAAUCUUAUUUUUACUGGUCGCUUCAAAUUUUUGGGCUUGUGGUGUGAAUUUUUGUGAAUUUUUAAGAUCUCAUUAUAAAAGAGCUCGCAAUACCCAAAGACACUUGAAACCUUCUGCUAGAGUUUUCAAAUACGAUUGAUGACACCAUGAGCAAUUAUGAUGAAGAUGAAAUGUUCAGCUAAUAGUACAGGAUGUGGUGUUUGUCAUUCAAGGGAUCUGUUGUUCAGGUUUAGUGAAGAUGUGGUUACAUGUCCUAACUGCUCCUCACACUUUCACUGGUUAUAGCAAGUUCCUGUUAAAGGUUCAAGUACAUUAGGUAUGUGUCAAUAUAAUUAUAUUGUUCUCUGUUCUAGUGUGGGAGCAAUGUAGUGCUGCCUCCACGUGACACUGCCUGGGAUCACUAGUGGUUACUACUGCUAGUGAUGCUAAGAGCACUACAUACAAGAAGAAUAGAUACUAACAGUAACUAUGUAUGAUGAAUUACAUUCCAUUGUUAGGUUAAUGACACUAAGAGGAUAAGUACUAUUCUCUGCUAUUGAAGACUACAUUGAGAAGUUAAUUGUUUGCUGUUUGAAGCUGUACAUUAACUGAAGACUAUAAAGAAUUACAUAACAUUAUUGUUUAUAAUUUUAUCAUUUUUGUUUAAUACACAAAGUUGUCUUUUUAUCAUUGUUUAUUGUGAAUUUUGAUUAAAAUUAUUGCAAGAGCCAUUAAUGCAGAAGCGGGUGCAAUGACUUAUAAACA